GGGUUGCAUGAAAGGAGAGGUGGUUAGCACUCCCCUUUGAAAAGGAUGAAAGAGGCACUCAGGCCUGACAACAUGUGUACAGUUAAGGCAUUGCCACCCACUUCAUGGUACCUAACCUUUGUCUUUU
ensembl:snRNA